AUUGAACGCUGGCGGCAUGCCUUACACAUGCAAGUCGAACGGCAGCACGGGUGCUUGCACCUGGUGGCGAGUGGCGAACGGGUGAGUAAUACAUCGGAACAUGUCCUGUAGUGGGGGAUAGCCCGGCGAAAGCCGGAUUAAUACCGCAUACGAUCUACGGAUGAAAGCGGGGGACCUUCGGGCCUCGCGCUAUAGGGUUGGCCGAUGGCUGAUUAGCUAGUUGGUGGGGUAAAGGCCUACCAAGGCGACGAUCAGGAGCUGGUCUGAGAGGACGACCAGCCACCCUGGGACUGAGACACGGCCAAGACUCCUACGGGAGGCAGCAGUGGGGAAUUUUGGACAAUGGGCGAAAGCCUGAUCCAGCAAUGCCGCGUGUGUGAAGAAGGCCUUCGGGUUGUAAAGCACUUUUGUCCGGAAAGAAAUCCUUGGCCCUAAUACGGUCGGGGGAUGACGGUACCGGAAGAAUAAGCACCGGCUAACUACGUG
rnacentral:rRNA from 1 species